ACGGAAGGCAGCAGUAGGGAAUAUUGCACAAUGGGGGGAACCCUGAUGCAGCAACGCCACGUGUGGGAAGGAGCAUUUCGGUGUGUAAACCACUGUCGUGAGGGAAUAAUGCUUGAUUUCGGUCAAGUUGAAUGUACCUCGAAAGGAAGCACCGGCAAACUUCGUGUCAGCAGCCGCGGUAAUACGAGGGGUGCAAGCGUUGUUCGGAAUCACUGGGCGUAAAGGGAGCGUAGGCGGAGACGCAAGCAGUCUGUACAAUGCCGGGGCCCAACCCCGGACCUGCAGACUGGACUGUGCCUCUUGGAUAGUUCAGGGGCAGGCGGAAUUCCUGGUGUAGCGGUGGAAUGCGUAGAGAUCAGGAAGAACACCGAUGGCGAAGGCAGUCUGCUGGGGACUCAUCGACGCUGAGGCUCGAAAGUGCGGGUAGCAAACAGGAUUAGAUACCCUGGUA
rnacentral:rRNA from 1 species